rnacentral:tRNA from 1 species
GGGGAUGUUACUCAGUGGUAGAGUGCUCACCUAGCACAUGCAAGAUCCUGCGUUCGAUCCUCAGCACUACA